CCUAACUGACAUAAAACAAGGAUUUUUUACUAGGAAUUAAAUGUCAGGAAUUGUGAAAAACUGAGUUUAAAUGUAUUUGGCUAAGGUGUAUGCAAACUUCCGACUUCAACUGUAAUUACGUAAAGGUCUCAAUAAAGGUAGGGUUGAAGCCACCAUUUGUAAAAAAUGUUUGUCAUGAAAUAAAUCACAUUAUCACAUGAGAGCAGGUCUGGUUGAGCAAGCAAAAUGAAUAGCAUCUGGGCAUGAUAUAGCAGUAGGAUGUUAUAGGAGUAGGAUGUUAUAGGAGUAGGAUGUUAUAGGAGAAGGAUGUUAUAGCAGUAGGAUGUUAUAGGAGUAUGAUGUUAUAGGAGAAGGAUGUUAUAGGGCCAGGUGUUAUAGGAGAAGGAUGUUAUAGGGCCAGGUGUUAUAGGAGUAGGAUGUUAUAGGAGUAGGAUGUUAUAGGAGUAGGAUGUUAUAGGAGAAGGAUGUUAUAGGAGUAGGAUGUUGUAGGAUGUUAUAGGAGUAGGAUGUUAUAGGAGUAGGAUGUUAUAGGAGAAGGAUGUUAUAGGAGUAGGAUGUUAUAGGAGUAGGAUGUUAUAGGAGAAGGAUGUUAUAGCAGUAGGAUGUUAUAGGAGUAUGAUGUUAUAGGCGAAGGAUGUUAUAGGGCCAGGUGUUAUAGGAGAAGGAUGUUAUAGGGCCAGGUGUUAUAGGAGUAGGAUGUUAUAGGAGUAGGAUGUUAUAGGAGUAGGAUGUUAUAGGAGAAGGAUGUUAUAGCAGUAGGAUGUUAUAGGAGUAGGAUGUUUUAGGGCCAGGUGUUAUAGGAGAAGGAUGUUAUAGGGCCAGGUGUUAUAGGAGUAUGAUGUUAUAGGGCCAGGUGUUAUAGGAGUAAGAUGUUACAGGAGAAGGAUGUUCGAGGAGAAGGAUGUUCUAGGGCCAGGUGUUAUAGGAGUAGGAUGUUAUAGCAGUAUGAUGUUAUAGGAGUAGGAUGUUAUAGGAGAAGGAUGUUAUAGGGCCAGGUGUUAUAGGAGUAAGAUGUUAUAGCAGUAUGAUGUUAUAGGAGUAGGAUGUUAUAGGAGUAGGAUGUUAUAGGACCAGGUGUUAUAGGAGUAAGAUGUUAUAGCAGUAUGAUGUUAUAGGAGUAGGAUGUUAUAGGAGUAGGAUGUUAUAGGACCAGGUGUUAUAGGAGUAGGAUGUUAUAGCAGUAUGAUGUUAUAGGAGUAGGAUGUUAUAGGACCAGGUGUUAUAGGAGUAGGAUGUUAUAGGAGAAGGAUGUUAUAGGGCCAUGUGUUAUAGGAGUAAUAUGUUAUUGGGCCAGGUAUUUUAGGAAUAGAAAGUUAUAGGGCCAGGUGUUAUAGGGCCAGGUGUUAAAUGAGUAGGAUUUUAUAGGGCCAGGUGUUAUAGGAGUAGGACGUUAUAGGGCCAGGUGUUAUAGGGCCAGGUGUUAUAGGAAUAGGGUGUUAUAGGGCCAGGUGAUAUAGGAGUAGGAUGCUAUAGGGCCAGGUGUUAUAGGAGUAGGAUGCUAUAGGGCCAGGUGUUAUAGGAGUAGG
rnacentral:lncRNA from 1 species